rnacentral:lncRNA from 1 species
AGUGAAGAACGUUGGAUGUGUAGCCUAAGUUUCCCCAUGGAGCUGAGAGGCACCCACCUAUAAGUCAGUGGCUUGCCUGGGAAAAAUAGGCUAUAGGUUCUAAAGCAGGGAGAGUCUGAGCUUAGGUACCAAAAGGACCAAUAGAAGGAGUAAAGCUCCUCCAAAAGUGAGUGAGGGUGGAAUAGAGGAUGAUACCCAUGGGUCAGGCAGCAAGUAAACACAAGAACAGAGGAGGAAGUUAGGAAUAAGGAUUGCAAGGAGGGAAAGAGGGUUCAGGAUCCUCUACAUAACCAGGGCUCAGAGGCUGGGAGCCUCUUGUUAUUUAUUAGGUGCUGGUUGCAGAGGGUGUGCGUGGGUUAGUCACCCUAGGUUGGCCCAAAGAGCAAGUCAUACUUGGCUCCUCCAGUGUAACUGAGAUCACCUUGCAGUAUACCAUGUUUGUACCUCAUUGAGGAAGCUUUCUACUUCCUUCCUUCAUAUCUUAGCUUGUGUUUUUCCUUCUUA